UACGUAGGGUGCAAGCGUUAUCCGGAAUUAUUGGGCGUAAAGAGCUCGUAGGCGGUCUGUCGCGUCUGCUGUGAAAUCUGGGGGCUCAACCCCCAGCCUGCAGUGGGUACGGGCAGACUAGAGUGCGGUAGGGGAGAUUGGAACUCCUGGUGUAGCGGUGGAAUGCGCAGAUAUCAGGAAGAACACCGAUGGCGGAAGGCAGAUCUCUGGGCCGUAA
rnacentral:rRNA from 1 species